rnacentral:rRNA from 1 species
ACGGAGGGUGCAAGCGUUAAUCGGAAUUACUGGGCGUAAAGCGCACGCAGGCGGUUUGUUAAGUCAGAUGUGAAAUCCCCGGGCUCAACCUGGGAACUGCAUCUGAUACUGGCAAGCUUGAGUCUCGUAGAGGGGGGUAGAAUUCCAGGUGUAGCGGUGAAAUGCGUAGAGAUCUGGAGGAAUACCGGUGGCGAAGGCGGCCCCCUGGACGAAGACUGACGCUCAGGUGCGAAAGCGUGGGGAGCAAACAGGAUUAGAUACCCUGGUAGUCAAGGGCGAAUUCGC